rnacentral:tRNA from 1 species
GUUCUUGUAGCGUAAUGGAUAGCGCGUUGGACUUCUAAUCCAAAAGUCGUGGGUUCGAAUCCCACCUAGGAUG